rnacentral:ncRNA from 1 species
UAAGACGAUCCAGGAUGGAUAGCAAUUAUCUUCCAGCUUAUUGGCGAAAUAUCCUUGAAUUUUAAAUAAACGACCUUAUUUAAUCUCCAGAGUAGCAAUUUUGACCAAUAUGGGAGGAAUUAUGCGUCUGGAUCGUCUUAC